rnacentral:tRNA from 1 species
UAUGGUAUGGUGUAAUUUAGCAUAUUAUUUUUUGGUAAUAAAGGUGUUUUGUUUCUACCAUAA